AGUGUGGACCACCAUCAUCCUAAC
rnacentral:miRNA from 1 species